CUGGGUUGGAGCUGAUUCCUGUCAUUUGUCAGGAGAAACACCAAAUGUUGUCACCACUUAACCGGCAGGUAGAAGUGCUAAACAAGAAACUGCAACAAAAAUGUGUCACAUUUUCCAGUGAAGCACAUUUUCUAAUGUGCUUCACUGGAAAAAAAAUCAAUAGGGAUUACUGAAAGCAAGGAAAUCAUCUUUUGGGGGCUCAUCCCUUUAGCACAUUCUAGAAUCCUGUAAAAUCAGUUACUGUUCCUGCAGGACAUCCUUGCAGGCGAUGGGUCGUGCUGCCCCCAGUCACACAGCAGUAUCCUGCUGAUACUGAAGAAAUCUCACUAACCUUCAAAUCCCAACCGCAGAAUGCCUGCCUGUCAUUUUAGAGUAAAACUAAUCCCAGGGAAGUCUGGAUAAGGGAUAUCACUUUCAGGUAACGAGCAAAGGGAAAAUGUAUGCUCUCAAAAGCCUGACCCCAUGAUACAAAAACUCAACAGGCUUUCACUAUCUUUCCUUUACUGUAUAGCACAUUAAAGAAACACUGCACUGCCUUUGUUACAACUUGUCUCGUUAUCUCCUCUAGCUCCCCCCAGUCCUUCUUGGGAGCAGGACGUGCUCACCCCGCUCUGGGCCAAGCUCCACCAUGGCAGCGGUUGAAAUUUCUGUCUCUGAGGAAGAGGAGGAGGAGGAGAGCAGAUUUGUCGUAACCUCCAGAGCUCUGCAUGACCCAAGGGUGGCUGGCUCCCUGUGACCCUCUGGAUGUCAUAUACCAUCUGCGUAUGGUGCGUGAGGGCGUGAGGAUCCCACUCAUAUUCCUUCCUACUCAAACCCUCAAAUCCAAAAGCUGCCAUACCAGCCCCGUAACAAAUGUUUGCGCUAAGGAAUCUUUUCACAGUGACAGGACAGCUGUGCUGCAGCUCCCCAGAGCAGCUUUACACCAUGAAUCCGCUGCUGGGCUGGCGCGUGGUGUGUGGGAACAUGGGGACUCUGUGGGUGGCACAGGACAAGCAGGUAACAGGAGCCAAACCUGCCUCUCGCAGCACAUCCUUCAGGAAACCAGCUGGUGUCAUCAGAGACCUCGCUGCAAUGCAUCCCAAAACGGGGUAAAGCAGCAGAGUUGGGAGAUUCAUUCCAAAACUGCGCUCCUGAACCAAACCAAAAUGCUGGUGCAGAGGCACCCUCAGCAUUACUCUCCUGCAGCGUAUCCAGCUCCCUUCUGCUAGAAUGAAAUGCUGUUUGUAAAAGUAAUUCUAUCUGAAAAGUGGCAUUAUAGCUUGCUCCAAGUGAUGAGGCUUCAGCAAACCCUUUACUAAUGUUACAACAUACCUGUCUCUAUAGAUUUUCAAUUCACUUUGCACUUGUGUUUGCUGGUUACUGAUGCUGAAGUAAACCAAAAUAAACACAUCAAACACACGCA
rnacentral:lncRNA from 1 species